rnacentral:lncRNA from 1 species
AGGUCACGGGAGGAGAGUUGAAUUCAAGGAUCGUGAGGAGAAAGAUUCAAUUCUGAAAGCCUUUGUGGAGGAGAAUUACAGUCAGUGUACGUGAAUAACAUAAACCUGUACGGGGAGUAUGCCAUGCUGUGGAAUAUAUAUAUAUAUAUAUAUAUAUAUAUAUAUAUAUAUAGGCACUGGCAAUUUACAUGCAGCUAGCAUACAGCAGUGGUGAACAUAGAUAUACAUAGAUUUGAGUGAUAAUAUUUCCAUAUUUGAAAUACUGUUGCAUUGCACCACCAGCAGGAGUUUG